GGCAUGGUGUAAUGGUCUGAGAGUUGGACUGCGACUCUGGAGACCAGGGUUCAAAUCCCAGCUAGGCCA